rnacentral:lncRNA from 1 species
CAGGGUGUUGAGAUUUUAAAGUUGAUAGUGAAAUGAUAUAAAAAGAAUAGUCUGAUGGAAUAUUAAUAUAAAUAUGGAUAUAUCGUUAGUGCCAGCAAUUUGUAUACUCAUUUUGACUUUGAUUGUUAUUGUCGCGCUGGUGCUGCUUUGUUUGUCCACACAACACAAAUAUUCAGUUAUUUUUAUCAGCAUUAUUAUUGUUGAAUAUACGUUUGAACUACUCCGUGUAUUAUAUUUUGUAAAAAUUUACGGGAAUAUAACCAAUUUUUCCUUGUAUUUUCUUCCUGUAAGCAGUAUGCCUACAAUUUCGAUGAUUUGUUCUGUUCUUCUCGGCACAAUAGUUUUGACCACCCUCCCAUUUCAACAAUCUUCAUUAACAGUCGCUUGUUUGAUAUAUGGUUUAUUAUCGAUGACAUUAAUCACAGUCUGGAACAAUUUUUUGGGAACAUGCUUGAUAACGGAAAAAUAUUCCUACUAUGCCUUCGAUGACUCACGACUAAACACAGCUUUAUACUGUUACGAAAAACUGGAUCCAUGGACAAGUGGUUACUUUCUGGAAUAUUUUCUUUUAAGUAUUCCCACCUUAGCAUUACUGUACGACAAACUAUACAAAACGUCAUCCUUUGCUGGUAAGUAAUCAUUUGUACGACCUUAAGUUGCACGUGACCUCUAGAACAAAACAAAACGUAGGUUGCAUUCAUAGGUUGCAUUCAAAUUUGUGGUUGCAGUUUGUUAGCUUUUAGGAAAUAGGCAAAAUAAGGAAGAAAUAGGUACUACCUGAAAUUGUUAAUUAUAAAUAUGGAAUAAUUUAAAAACUGUUUUUUUGGUUUUUUUUAAACCUCAACAUUGUCAUUACUGCAAAAUCAUUAUACAACAAAAUUUUCCGAGUUAUUUUUGUAAUAUUAAUGAGCCACUGAUAUGAUGUUUUAAUGCAAGUAUCUUUUAAAUGAAUUGUGGAGUAGGAGAAUUUGAGCAAUAACCAAUCAAUUUAAAAAAAAAUGAAAUGGCACUAUUUACUUAUCUAUCUCUUUCUAAAACUCGUGCCAAAGAGACUGCAAUAUCGGCUACUAAACGUUAAAAAACACAAUCAGAUAUCGUAGUGAAAUAUAAAAGCAAAAAAUCUUAAGAUAAUGGUACUCUUAUUUUAUUUUGAGGAAUAACAAAGAUUUUUUAUCUCAGUCUGAUAGUAAAAUUAUAUACUAUUUCAUGUAUCUAUAAACAUACUCUGUUUAAUAUCUUGUUUUCUAUUUCAGAAUUGUGGUAUCCUUCUUUAAAGGAAACGUGUUCUAUCUGUCGUUUCAACAUUGUACUUUACAACCAUACAUUGGUGCUGGCCCUCCUUAUGAUUUGGUGCGUCAGACCGACUUUUUUCUUUUUAAUUGCAUUUGAAUCCUCUUUUCCCGGUGCGUCUAAUUAUAUUGACUUAUUCAUCAUGAUAUCAUCAAUGUCAUGUUUUAUUCUAGUUUUGACGAACAUUCUCAGAUUUUAUAUUUUUCGGAAAUUAGACUUUAAGGUUGAUAAUGAAAGUGAAUAUAACAGAAAAUCUGUAGAAUGUGAGCAAAAUGAAAUGACUACCAAGAAAACAUUUAUCUUUCAGUAUCUUUUUCGGAAUGAUUUAAAUAUAUUAUAAGCACCUUUAACCUCAGAUUGUCUACUCUAUAAUUUGUCAUG